rnacentral:tRNA from 1 species
GGCGCGGUAGCUCAGGUGGUUAGAGCGUUGGAUUCAUAACCCAAAGGUCGGGAGUUCAACUCUCCCCCGCGCUAC